UACGGGGGAGCAAGCGUUGUUCGGAUUUACUGGGCGUAAAGGGCGCGUAGGCGGCCACCGCAAGUCGAUUGUGAAAUCUCCGGGCUUAACCCGGAAAGGUCAACCGAUACUGCGGGGCUAGAGUGCAGAAGGGGCAACUGGAAUUCUCGGUGUAGCGGUGAAAUGCGUAGAUAUCGAGAGGAACACCUGCGGCGAAGGCGGGUUGCUGGGCUGACACUGACGCUGAAGUGCGAAAGCUAGGGAGCGAACGGG
rnacentral:rRNA from 1 species